rnacentral:rRNA from 1 species
CCUACGGGAGGCAGCAGUGGGGAAUAUUGCACAAUGGGCGCAAGCCUGAUGCAGCAACGCCGCGUGAGGGACGACGGCCUUCGGGUUGUAAACCUCUUUUAGUAGGGAAGAAGCGAAAGUGACGGUACCUGCAGAAAAAGCACCGGCUAACUACGUGCCAGCAGCCGCGGUAAUACGUAGGGUGCAAGCGUUAUCCGGAAUUAUUGGGCGUAAAGAGCUCGUAGGCGGUUUGUCGCGUCUGCUGUGAAAACUGGAGGCUCAACCUCCAGCCUGCAGUGGGUACGGGCAGACUAGAGUGCGGUAGGGGAGAUUGGAAUUCCUGGUGUAGCGGUGGAAUGCGCAGAUAUCAGGAGGAACACCGAUGGCGAAGGCAGAUCUCUGGGCCGUAACUGACGCUGAGGAGCGAAAGCAUGGGGAGCGAACAGGAUUAGAUACCCUGGUAGUCCAUGCCGUAAACGUUGGGAACUAGAUGUAGGGACCAUUCCACGGUUUCUGUGUCGCAGACUACGACAUUAACGUUACCCCGUCCCGUCGGGAGGUACGGCCGGCCGAACGGACGUAAAACUAACGAAAGGAAAGUUAGACGGCGUGAGACGUGACCGAACGGACGACGACGAGGGAGGAGG